ensembl:lncRNA
AAACAUUUGAUCUAUGGUGAUUCCUUAUUUAUAAAACCUUUCUAUUUAGAGAUUACAAGGUAAACUGGUGGAAAUAAAAUCUUGUUGUGAAAAUAACAUUCAUUAAAAGCUAACUUAAAGCUUCUGUUCUUCAGGGCUGCAGGAGGCUGUCAGCGUGUUUAAAAGAAUAAAAGCAGCAUGUUGUUUUAACCUGCUCCAGUUGGUCUCGUUAGGCAGUGGAAGAUGGUUUGUGUGUGCUAGAAAUAUGAAUUUACUUUUAGAAAAUAAAAUUGCCUAGUGAUAUAUAGGAUAAAGGUUUGGGAAAGUUUAAUUAAAUUAAGCCAAGGAUUAAGAGGACACGGGUUAUUUUUUGGUUUUUUUUAAAGGUGAACCAAGACUCUUUAACAUUUGGGUAAAGAGCAACUCUUUGGAAUGUAAACUUGUUUGAAUGCAGAGUAGAAUGCAAAAACUGGGCAGUGAUGACAACGUUUUAUUAUUAUUCGAAAUAGAAGCAUCUCUCCUUAGAGCCUGAUGUUCUGAUGCAACUCUAUUCUGCAUGUGAUAGUAAAUACAGGCACACACUGGCUGCAUUGCCACAAGUUACCGUUCGUGUUGCUCAUAGGCAGGUUUUUAACCCAGUGACAUCCAGUGAAAUUAUUAUAAAGGAGCUGUUUUCAUCUAAGAAAAUGAGCAACAAAAGCGUAGGCGCAUUUUUUUCCUCCACAACAAAUUCUCAGUGGAGUGGUCCAGGCAAAUCAUUUGACGAAGAUGAUGGUGAAAUUGAGGAAGAAAUUAUAGAUGACAUUGAAGAGAACUGUGAGAAUAAUUUAGAAGAGGACAAAUCUGAUCAUCUCUACAAAUUUGAAAAAGAGAAGUCAGAAUUUGAAAACGAAGCAGAAAAAAGCAAAGAGUCUGAGAAAUCUGGUGAUUUUUGGGACGCCCCCAAGAAACAGGGCGGAGACUCGUCUGCUCACGACCACUUUGAAGAGGAAUUCAAAGAGGAAUCUGAGGGAGCUGCUGGUUUUCAGGAAGACCCUGUUUCAGUGGACAAGUCUGAAAUGGGAUAUGAAUAUGACUGUGAAGAGCACGAUGGUCCUGAAAAGUCUGAGACAAGUGCUGGUCUUCUCAAACAGCUGGAAGAAGACAAGCUUGCUCUCCAAAAGGAGUUAGAAAUAGAAAAAGAGGCUAAAUCUCAACAGGAGGAAGCUUUUAAAAAGCUGCAAGAGGAAAAUGAUCGUCUUGAAAACGCUGUGAAAAAAGAGCGUGAUGAACUGAAGCGCAUGAAGACAAAAGUGGCUGAUCUAAAGAAGUCACAGAAAGAAUACCGGAGCAGCACUGAGGACCUUAAAACCAGAAUUAGUCAAAUGAUGGCCAACACUGAUGAGGACAAGAAGACGAUCAAGAAACUCCACAAAGAUCUGAUGAUGUCCUCACUUAAACAUGAAAAUGAAAAUGCAGAGGCCGCUGAUAUUAAGGCACUAGAGGAUCGUCUCAUUGAGCAGCAGAAACAAAACCUGGGAAAAGACGAUGAAAUACAGUCGCUGCGCCUCAAAGUCCAAAACCUUCAGGAUGAUAGCGAGGCCAAGGACACCAUGAUUUUAAGGCUGCAGGAAAACGUUAACGAGUGGGCAUCAGACGUCCAGAAAGAACAAGAGAAGAACUCUGAACUUCAGAGGAGCUACGAUAAAACACAAAAGCUGAAUCGACUGACCUCGGAAAAUCAGGACCUGUCUUCUGAAAACCAGACCCUGCGAGACGAAGUUGAGUUUCUCAAAAAUGAGAGGCAGCUUAUGCAAAAAGAUCUCGAUGAAGAGAAAGGGGCUCGCAGAGAACUUGAGAAGACUGUUAAGGAGGAGAAAUCUCGGUUUUCUCAAGUAUAUAAAAAGUUACAGAUGAAAGAGAAAGAGCUGUCAGAGAAGACGUUAGCUCCACCUGGGCAGAGAAGAACUUCUAAAUCUGCAGAGCAUCUUCUCUAUGACAUGGAGACACUAAAGAUGGAGAACGCGAAUCUUACAGCUAAAUUAGAGGCUGUGGAAAAUCAGUAUAGUGGAGCAAAGUUUAAACACGAAGCUCUCCCUGAGCAGCACCGAGACAAGCUCCUGCAAAAUGUAGAUGAGCUCGAAGCACGGCAGUCUGAGAGAGAUACUGUGCAGAAAGAACUCGAAAUCACUCUAAAAGAAAAGAAGAAUCAAACCUCUCAAUUACAGCAGAGAGUUGGUGCUCUUGAAAAGGAGCUCAAGAUAAGCGAGAAGCAGCGUUCUAAGUUCGAGGACGUUUUGGCCAAGUACAUAGAAACCCUGGAAGAAAAGCAAGAAUUGUCUGUGACCUUCCAGAAAAGUCAAGACAGCACCAGGGUCCAGGAACAAAAAAUUAGUGACAAUGAGCACAAAAUCGCUCUGGAUCAGUGCACAAAGGCUUUAUACAACCUACAGAAGGAAUACGUCGAUCUAGCCAAGAAACACAGUGGCAUUAAUGACGAUUGCAGGGAGCUGCUUAAAACCCACACUGCUCUCCAAAUCAAAUAUGACAGGCUGACCUACACAAAAGAAAACCAGAAUUAAGAAUUAAAAAUAAAUUCAAAACACUAAUAAAAAAGCAGUAAACUGGUUUGUCUCUUUGUCUGUUUUGAAAACUGAAGUUUCUCAUUUUUAGGGCUUGGCAAUCAGUAGGUGGAGUCUAUUCCCCACAGUAGCCCCCAUUCACACAGGCUUAGAGACCUAUCAGUGACCAUAUCACACUCACUGUAGCUCGAGAUACCUUACAAACAAGAUCGUCGUAUGCAUCUUGCAUCAGGACCAUCCUCCUCCCUUCAUUGGUCCAUAAAGUUCAGUUCAGUUCUGCUCUGUUUCAAUAAAAUACCAAUGAAUAGCUGGGCCCACGUCCUCAUUUUAGGUUUGACAGCAUUUUUUACUAGAUAAAGGCGAAUGGCUUAAACAAGAAUUGAGCUGCG